AAUUUUUACAUGCAGAGACCUCGAACAUAAAUUUGAACAAAACUGCAUCAAAACGACCUGGAUCGCCUAUUGCUUCUACGAGUCGAAAGAUUAUGGCCAUAAAUAUCGAAGAAGAACAAAUUCGACCUGCGUUUCAAAUAGAUUUGAAGAAAAAAAUGUAUUUACUAAAAGAAGGAAAUGUGAGAAGGGUGAAAGAACUAUCGAAA